rnacentral:sRNA from 1 species
AUAUAGGGUGCAGUGUAAGAAGAAAGAAGAUAAAAUUGGAAAAGUGUUGCCCGUUAUGCAUGAGAGUCACCAUGCUCAAAGUGAAUAUAUUAAGGCAACAGUUAAUGCCCGGGCAAACCAGGAUCUUGCCCUUCUGUGUGAGGUCCGUGACAGCAAUAGACGGGCACAUAAGAUACAAGGAGAACUGAAGAAUCUUAAGUCGAAAGUGUUUGGUCUGGAGAAUGAACUUAGACUCUGUUGAUGUCUACUUUUGGAAAUGGCCCCCAUUUAGAAGAGAUGUGCUUCUUGAAACCUGAGGACAAGGUCAUCUGCUGCCAGAAAAUGUAAACCUGAGUUGACUAGAGUGGUGGUAUUCAUUAUUGUAAAGACAGCUUGAAGAAUCGGGGACCACUAGGAAAGCUUUUCUUGCAUACUCAGCUUGCUUUAUCAUUUUUGCUGUCCUUUUAACAUUUGCGAGGAGUAGGGGCCUGGUCCUGAGUGACUUGGAGGCUUUCAUUAUUUAUCCUGUCUGUAUUGACCGGUUUUUGUUUUUUCAGAAGGCAGUGAUGAUGAAAACUUAGGAAGAAGGUAUUUUGCAUUAAGCUUGGCUGAGUGUCCAUGGGAAGAAUACUUUCCCUAAAGAGAGAGAAGCACUCACAGAGGCUGCCUUUCUCCUGAGCUCGGGGAGAAGGCAGCACAUCACAACCUGUCACAUUGAAAUAGGCGC